rnacentral:rRNA from 1 species
AGCGUUGUCCGGAAUCAUUGGGCGUAAAGCGCGCGUAGGCGGCCCGGUAAGUCCGUUGUAAAAGUCAAAGGCUCAACCUUUGAAAGCCGAUGGAUACUGCCGGGCUAGAGUCCGGAAGAGGCGAGUAGAAUUCCUGGUGUAGCGGUGGAAUGCGCAGAUAUCAGGAGGAAUACCCAUAGCGAAGGCAGCUCGCUGGGACGGUACUGACGCUGAGGCGCGAAAGCGUGGGGAGCGAACAGGAUUAGAUACCCUGGUAGUCCACGCCGUAAACGAUGGGCACUAGGUGUGGGAGGUGUCGACUCCUCCCGUGCCGACGCUAACGCAUUAAGUGCCCCGCCUGGGGAGUACGGCCGCAAGGCUAAAACUCAAAGGAAUUGACGGGGACCCGCACAAGCAGCGGAGCAUGUGGUUUAAUUCGACGC